rnacentral:misc_RNA from 1 species
AACAUCGCGCACCUGCGGGAACCUGCGGAAGGAUCACUACAGAGUUGCAAAACUCCCUAAACCAUUGUGAACGUUACCUAAACCGUUGCUUCGGCGGGCGGCCCGGGUCCUUCCCGGCGCCCAUCGGCCCUCGCGGGCGCCCGCCGGAGGUAAACCAAACUAUUGCAUUGUAUGGCCUCUCUGAGUCUUCUGUACUGAAUAAGUCAAAACUUUCAACAAUGGAUCUCAGAUCGGAAGAGC